rnacentral:siRNA from 1 species
AGCUGGUCAAGAUGUGCUCUAUUU